AGCGAACGCUGGCGGCAGGCCUAACACAUGCAAGUCGAACGAAGUCUUCGGACUUAGUGGCGGACGGGUGAGUAACACGUGGGAACGUGCCUUUAGGUUCGGAAUAACUCAGGGAAACUUGUGCUAAUACCGAAUGUGCCCUUCGGGGGAAAGAUUUAUCGCCUUUAGAGAGUCCCGCGUCUGAUUAGCUAGUUGGUGAGGUAAAGGCUCACCAAGGCGACGAUCAGUAGCUGGUCUGAGAGGAUGAGCAGCCACAUUGGGACUGAGACACGGCCCAAACUUCUACGGGAGGCAGCAGUGGGGAAUCUUGCGCAAUGGGCGAAAGCCUGACGCAGCCAUGCCGCGUGAAUGAUGAAGGUCUUAGGAUUGUAAAAUUCUUUCACCGGGGACGAUAAUGACGGUACCCGGAGAAGAAGCCCCGGCUAACUUCGUGCCAGCCGCCGCCGUAA
rnacentral:rRNA from 1 species